GAUGAACGCUGGCGGCGUGCCUAAUACAUGCAAGUCGAGCGAACGGACGAGAAGCUUGCUUCUCUGAUGUUAGCGGCGGACGGGUGAGUAACACGUGGAUAACCUACCUAUCAGACUGGGAUCACUUCGGGAAACCGGAGCUAAUACCGGAUAAUAUUUUGGACCGCAUGGUUCAAAGGUGAAAGACGGUCUUGCUGUCACUUAUAGAUGGUUCCGCGCUGCAUUAGCUAGUUGGUAAGGUAACGGCUUACCAAGGCAACGAUGCAUAGCCGACCUGAGAGGGUGAUCGGCCACACUGGAACUGAGACACGGUCCAGACUCCUACGGGAGGCAGCAGUAGGGAAUCUUCCGCAAUGGGCGAAAGCCUGACGGAGCAACGCCGCGUGAGUGAUGAAGGUCUUCGGAUCGUAAAACUCUGUUAUUAGGGAAGAACAUAUGUGUAAGUAACUGUGCACAUCUUGACGGUACCUAAUCAGAAAGCCACGGCUAACUACGUG
rnacentral:rRNA from 1 species